rnacentral:lncRNA from 1 species
UUGAAAUCGGCCCAAAGGAAAUGCUUGGUUGUUCCCUCCGGAACACAGCUCCAGCCCCUGGAAUGGCAACAGCAUUUACUCAGGAGUUAUUCACAGGGAAUGGAGCAGUGUAAAGAGCAGGAAGGACGAUGAGAAGACAGGAAGAAAGUGUGCAGUUCAUCUCUCGUAAGUUUUACCGGACUUCUUCUGCUCCUGUGUGGGGAAAGCUUUCUUAUGUGCACCGUGUAUACCUACCUUACAGUUAGUUUUUCAUCCCUUCCCCCUUACCUGCCUCAUCUGCCUUCACAUCCUUUUCUCUAUAGUCUACCAAAUGGAAGGACCCGGAGGAAGUCAAAAAUCCUAGAGAUUCAUGACCCUAACCUGUGUUGGGUUUAUUACGAACAAUAACAAUCGUUAUUUGUUAUAUAGAAUUUGCUCACCUGAACCACUGGCAGAAAUGUUUUCUUUGGCGUAUAAAGUGUUCGAUAAAAUUUGGAAAGUUCCUAUAAAAAUAUGAAUUCCUUGAUUUUGUAAGAAAACAAACAAACAAAAAAAC